rnacentral:rRNA from 1 species
UACGAAGGGGGCUAGCGUUGUUCGGAAUCACUGGGCGUAAAGGGCGCGUAGGCGGCUUUAUAAGUCGGGGGUGAAAGCCUGUGGCUCAACCACAGAAUUGCCUUCGAUACUGUAGAGCUUGAGACCGGAAGAGGUAAGUGGAACUGCGAGUGUAGAGGUGGAAUGCGCAGAUAUCAGGAGGAACACCAAUAGCGAAGGCAGCUCGCUGGGACGUUACUGACACUGAGGCGCGAAAGCGUGGGGAGCGAACAGG